rnacentral:rRNA from 1 species
AUGAACGCUGGCGGCGUGCCUAAUCCAUGCAAGUCGCGCGAACGGACGAGAAGCUUGCUUCUCUGAUGUUAGCGGCGGCCGGGUGAGUAACACGUGGAUAACCUACCUAUAAGACUGGGAUAACUUCGGGAAACCGGAGCUAAUACCGGAUAAUAUUUUGAACCGCAUGGUUCAAAAGUGAAAGACGGUCUUGCUGUCACUUAUAGAUGGAUCCGCGCUGCAUUAGCUAGUUGGUAAGGUAACGGCUUACCAAGGCAACGAUGCAUAGCCGACCUGAGAGGGUGAUCGGCCACACUGGAACUGAGACACGGUCCAGACUCCUACGGGAGGCAGCAGUAGGGAAUCUUCCGCAAAGGGCGAAAGCCUGACGGAGCAACGCCGCGUGAGUGAUGAAGGUCUUCGGAUCGUAAAACUCUGUUAUUAGGGAAGAACAUAUGUGUAAGUAACUGUGCACAUCUUGACGGUACCUAAUCAGAAAGCCACGGCUAACUACGUG